UAACCUGAGGACAAAGACUACAUUGCUAGC
rnacentral:piRNA from 1 species